rnacentral:lncRNA from 1 species
UCGCUCACCGUAGCAAGUGGGCGGGGCCAGGUGCGGCACUCACAGCACUCAGCUCGGACACACACGCGCUGCUGCACUCGCUCACUCGCUCAGACAGAGAGCAGACAUAGCGCUCUUCAACAUCGAACACGGACUUUUUCUUACUUUUUCUCUCCACAAAAACAUUUUUUUGAACAAGCUUGCCUGAAGAAGGUUCUUAUAAGAACCGAAACGUUGCAAUUUAAGCUUGUUCACCUGCAUAGAGGCUUUCUACGGAGCAGCUCCGACAUGAACAGAUGGGAGGAGGAAGACGGCUGGACGGUGGUUGAACGAAGGCGCGGCCGCGGUAAGCAGCGCGACCAAACCUGGCGUCAGCUCCAGCCCCCUCGCUUCCAAGAGACAGUCUACCGCCGCUCCUAUGCUUCUGCAACCAGAGCUGGCACACGUACGGGAAGUUACCCCCGACGCUACUACCGAGAGCCAGGCUACAAGCCGCAAUUUUUUGAUCGCCGGAACCGUAAUGGUCCCGGCAAUAACAAUAAAAACUCACGUGUUAAACAACAAAACGUGUAUAAAAAGUACUACAAACAACAACACAAUUCGACACAUGAACAAUAUAAAAAUACACAGCAACAAAGACCCAGAUCCUCAGAUCCGGAUUUUGGAUUAAAAGUUAGGAUUAUUUACACAGUGAUUAAAAUGGCUCAUCACCUGAAAAACGUCUCAGCAGAUGAGCCUCCACCCACCAUAACCAGACUAAUUCACAAUCUCUCCACUGUCAUCAAGCCGGCAUCACCCAGAACCACCACACAGACACUUAUAGAGGGAAAUGCCAAAAACUGGGCAUAUACCACCAUGCUGAUCCUCCAAGAACAUUACACACAAGUCAUGGAGGCGGAAGUGGAGAAACUGACCAACUUGUGUUCCACUCACAGCUGGCACGAUCCCUUUGAAGUGGCAAAAUCCUGGGUGAGGAGAAACUUGGGUCGUCGUCUCAAGGAUGAAACUCUGGACCAGGUCAAACUUGUCCUUGUGGUUCACUUGGACAAAGAGACCUCAAGUGAAAGGGGAGAAAGGGAGGAGGAGCAAUGUGGACCACACGACUGCAGCCCGGAUAAAACCGAGCACACUGUGCGGCCACGUAGCACAGUCUCAACACAGGUUCACAGUAGGGGACAACACACAGCGACUGCGUUCCC